GCAGUCGAGCGAACAGAAAAGGAGCUUGCUCCUUUGACGUUAGCGGCGGACGGGUGAGUAACACGUGGGCAACCUACCCUAUAGUUUGGGAUAACUCCGGGAAACCGGGGCUAAUACCGAAUAAUCUCUUUUGCUUCAGGGUGAAAGACUGAAAGACGGUUUCGGCUGUCGCUAUAGGAUGGGCCCGCGGCGCAUUAGCUAGUUGGUGAGGUAACGGCUCACCAAGGCGACAAUGCGUACCCAACCUGAGAGGGUGAUCGGCCACACGGGGACUGAAACACGGCCCAAACUCCUACGGGAGGCAGCAUUAGGGAAUCUUCCACAAUGGGCGAAAGCCUGAUGGAGCAACGCCGCGUGAGUGAAGAAGGUUUUCGGAUCGUAAAACUCUGUUGUAAGGGAAGAACAAGUACAGUAGUAACUGGCUGUACCUUGACGGUACCUUAUUAGAAAGCCACGGCUAACUACGUGCCAACAGCCGCGGUAAUACGUAGGUGGCAAGCGUUGUCCGGAAUUAUUGGGCGUAAAGCGCGCGCAGGCGGUCCUUUAA
rnacentral:rRNA from 1 species